AUAAGUUAUGAGUUCCCGAUAGGAUUCACUUAACGGUGAAGAAGCCUUGUAACCUAAAAAAAUAAACAGGGGGAAAACUAAUG
rfam:Lactobacillus senioris DSM 24302 = JCM 17472 strain DSM 24302 NODE_26, whole genome shotgun sequence.